GCGGGAAUAGCUCAGUUGGUAGAGCACGACCUUGCCAAGGUCUGGGUCGCGAGUUCGAGUCUCGUUUCCCGCUCCA
rnacentral:tRNA from 4 species